UCUGCUGACGAGCCCCGGCGCGGCGGCUCCCCGCCCACCCCGCGGGAACCCGGGACCUACCGCUUCGUCCGCCUCCCGCGCGCCCCAGGCCCCGGGUUGGGGUGCGGGGGGCGCAGGGGUCUGUCGGGCCAGUGCCGCAGCUCCGGCCCCGGAGUCUUUCCGCCUUCACAAGGAAGCGGAGGGGAUCUGGCUCCGUCCAUUUCCUCAUCCUCUGCGUACCUGCGGACCAGGUGCUCCCGGAUGCAACCCGAGAACCCGGAACGCGCCUGGCACACAGGAGGCGCUCAGCUCGUGUUGGGGAAUUCAGGCAGGGAAGAAAGCAGGGAUGGGCACGAGGUCUCCCCUUCCUGGGGAGCCGCUCCCAGGGCCUCCAGCCUCUUUUUCUGUUAUCUUGGAGACCAGUCUGGAAAAGUCCAUGCCCCUGAGAGACCCUGAAACAGGACCCUGUGGGCCGACUCGCUUUUUGUUUUUCUCUUUUUUUUGAGACAGAGUCUCGCUCUGUCGUCCAGGCUGGAGUGCAAUGGCGCGAUCUCGGCUCACUGCAAGCUCCACCUCCUGGGUUCAAGCGAUUCUCUUGCCUGAGCCUCCCGAGUAGCUGGGACAACAGGCGCCCUCCACCACGCCCGGCUAAUUUUUUGUAUUUUUAGUAGAGACGGGGUUUCACCGUGUUGGCCAGGAUGGUCUCGAACUCCUGACCUCGUGAUCUGCCCGCCUCAGCCUCCCAAAGUGCUGGGAUUACAGGCGUGAGCCACCGCGCCCGACCCCGACUCACUUUUUUUUUUUUUCUUUUUUGAGACAGAGUCUCACUCUGUUGCCCAGGCUGGAGUGCAGUGGCGCGAUCUCGGCUCACUGCAACCUCUGCCGCCUGGGUUCAAGCAAUUCUCCUGCCUCAGCUUCCCGAGUAGCUGGGAUUACAGGCACCUGCCACUGCGUCCGGCUAAUUUUUGUAGUUUUAAUUAGAGACUGGGUUUCACCAUGUUGGCCAGGCUGGUCUUGAACUCCUUACCUAGUGAUCCACCCACCUCAGCCUCCCAAAGAGCUGGGAUUACGGGCAUGAGCCACCGCGCCUGGCCAGUUACAUGUGUAACUGGCAUCAUAUGUCCAGUUACAUGUCUAACGGCCAGUUUUAUGGGGACUUUUCAGGAAACUCCUGGAUCGAGGCUGGCAUCUUUCCGGCCCAAGCAGGCUCAGCCCAUGGAGAUCUCACGAUGGCAACAUCCUAGGCCCCAGCCUGCGCCGCACCCUCCCCAGGGUUCUAGGCCCUGAUUCUGACCACAUGUCCCCACCUAGAUGCGGCCUGGGCACUCCCGCACCUGCUUGUGGGGUUUGGGCCACCAGCCUGUGUGGCCUCCUCCAUCACCUGCAGCUGCUCCUCUCGGCCAGACAGGACUUUCUUCUGCUGCUGCACGGAGGAGCUUUCCCCAGCACCUGGGCCAGGCUGGAGUGCAGUGGUGUGAUGACAGCUCACUAUAGCCUCAGCCUCCCGGGCUCAAGAGAUCCUCCGGCCUCAGCCUCCCAAGUAGCUGGGACUACAGGUGUGCACCCCCACGCCCGGCUAUUUUUACUGUUAUUAUUAUUAUUAUUAUUAAUUUUGAGAUGGAGUCUCACUCUGUUGCCCAGGCUGGAGUGCAGUGGCACCAUCUCAGCUCACUGCAAGCCCCACCUCCUGGGUUCACGCCAUUCUCCUCUCUCAGCUUCCCAAGUAGCUGGUACUACAGGCGCCCACCACCACACGUGGCUAAUUUUUUUGUAUUUUUACUAGAGACGGGGUUUCACCAUGUGUUAGCCAAGAUGGGCACAAUCUCCUGACCUCGUGAUCUGCCGGCCUCGGCCUCCCAAAGUGCUGGGAUUAUAGGCAUGAGUAUUAUUAUUAUUUUUUGAGACAGAGUCUCACUCUGUCACCCAGGCUGGAGUGCAGUGGCACAAUCUUGGCUCACUGCAACCUCUGCCUCCCGGGUUCAAGCAGUUCUGCCUCAGCCUCCCAAGUAGUUGGGAUUACAGGCGCCUGCCACCACGCCUGGCUAAUUUUUGUAUUUUCAGUAGAAAUGGGGUUUCACCAUGUUAGCCAGGAUGGUCUUGAUCUCCUGACCUCAUGAUUCACCCACCUCAGCCUUCCAAAGUGCGGGGAUUACAGGCGUGAGCCACCGCACCUGGCCUUUAUUAUUAUUUUUUUUGAGACGGAGUUUCGCUCUUGUUGCCCAGACUGGAGUACAGUGGCAGGAUCUUGGCUCACUGCAGCCUCUGCCUGCCGGAUUCAAGCGAUUCUCCUGCCUCAGCCUCCUGAGCAGCUGGUACUACAGGAGUCCAUCACUAGGCUUAGCUAAUUUUUAUAUUUUUAUUAAAGACGGGGCUGGGCACGUUGGCUCACGCCUGUAAUCCCAGCACUUUGGGAGGCCGAGGCAGGCGGAUCACAAGGUCAGGAGAUCGAGACCAUCCUGGCUAAGACAGUGAAACCCCGUCUCUACUGAAAAUACAAAAAAUUAGCCGGGCGUGGUGGCGGGUGCCUGUAGUCCCAGCUACUCAGGAGGCUGAGGCAGGAGAAUGGCGUGAACCUGGGAGGUGGAGCUUGCAGUGAGCUGAGAUCACACCACUGCACUGCAGCCUGGGGAACAGAGCGAGACUCCGUCUCAAAAAAAAAAAAAAAAAAAAAAGACGGGGUUUCACCAUGUUGGCCAGGCUGGUCUCGAACUCCUGGGCUCAAGUGAUCCUUCCACCUCGGCCCCCCAGUGCUGGGAUUACAGCGUGAGCCACUGGGCCCGGUCUGGCUGUAUCUUUUGGGAGGCUGCCCUUCAGCCACCACAGCCCUCAUUUCAGGUUCUUGUGGGACCCUCAGGGGUUGAAGGACAAAGAGAUGCUUUCCACCUCCUAACCGGGUAUGUGGCUUAGGGAGGCUGUGUGGGGGCUGGGCUGGCCUGCGAGGGGCGGGCGGGGUGGAGGUGGGGCCUGUGAGUCCGGUGGACGGGAUGCAGCCCAGGUUGGCUGAGGGCCGGCAGGUGGUGCUGCGGAGCCCACGGGGGCCAGCAGGUGCCAAAACCCCAUACAGGGGGAAUAAACCCCCUCAGGUCAGGAGUUCCUGGGGAGGAGAGCUGAGUUUUCCAAAAUUAACUAAUUUUUCCUGAACGUCUGAUUUCAAAACGUUUACUGAGCUUUCCUGUGUUCCCAUCAAGGCCUGUGCUUCCAGGAACUGGGAAAGGAGAGGUGGGGUCACUGUGGGUCUGUCAGGGCUGCAGGAGGGGAGAGGUGGGGUCACUAUGGGUCUGUCUGGCCGGGCGGCAGGAGGAGAGGUGGGGUCACUGCGGGUCUGUCAGGGUGGGCGGCAGGAGGAGAGGUGGGUUCACUGCGGGUCUGUCUGGCCGGGCGGCAGGAUGUGCACUCAGACUCAGCCCAUGUGGUUUCCAAGGCCCGAAGGACACACCAGGCCAGAUGCCCCCAUCACACACAGGGCUAGGGAGCAGCAACUGGGGUCCACGGUGGUUCCGCCCCACCCCACCCCGCAGGGCCACCCUCCGAGAGCAGUGCUAUUCUUGGUUCUCGCCAUAGAACCUGGGUUUAGGUUUGGGGGCCCAGGAGCUGCCUGGUGGGUGGGUGGGGGUGAUAUGGUUUGGUUCUGUGUUCUCACACAAAUCUCAUCUCGAACUGUAAUCCCUGUGUCGAGGGAGGAAGGUGAUUUGAUCAUGGAGGAGGGUUUCCACAUGCUGUUCUCGUGAUGGUGAGUUCUCACGGGGGCUGCUGAUUUAUAAGUGGCAGCUCCCCCUCCACUCUCUCGCCUUCUGCCACGUGAGAUGUGCCUGCGUCCUUCGCCUUCCGCCAUGAUCGUAAGUUUCCUGAGGCCUCCCCAGCCCUGUGGAACUGGGAGUUAAUUAAACCUCUUUCUUUUAUUUUUAUAUUUUUUAUUUUUGAGGCAGAGUCUCACUCUUGUUGCCCAGGCUGGAGUGCAGUGGCGCAAUCUCAGCUCACUGCAACCUCUGCCUCCCGAGUUCAAGCGAUUCUCCUGCCUCAGCCUCCGAGUAGCUGGGACUACGGGUGCCCACCACCACACCCGGCUAAUUUUUGAAUGUUUAGUUGAGACACGGUUUCACCAUGUUGGCCAGGCUAGUCUUGAACUUCUGACCUCAGGUGAUCCGCCCGCCUCGGCCUCCCAAAGUGCUGGGAUUACAGGUGUGAGCCACCGCGCCCGGCCAGACCUCUUUGUUUAUAAAUUACCCAGUCUCAGGCAGUGUCUUUAUAGCAGUGUGGGAAUGAACUCACGUAAGUGGGGAAGGUGAAUCCUCCAACUCCCCCACCUGUGUGGCCACCAACGUGCAGGACACCAGGACGAGCUUCCCAGAGGGCCAGGGCCAGGCAACAGAGUGCAGGGUAGGCCAGCAUGGCCUUGGGGCGGCGUGGUACCCAACAGGAAUGUGGAGAUGAGGCCCGAGGUGGCGGCUCACACCGGUAAUGGCAACACUUCGGGAGACUAAGGUGGGAGGAUCGCUUGAGCCCAGGAGUUUGAGAGCAUCCUGGGCAACAUAUUGAGACCUCGUUCCUACAAAAUAAUGAGUCGGUGCAGUGAUGCAUGCCUGUGGUCCUAGCUACUCAGGAGGCUGAGGUAGGAGAAUUGCCUGGACCCGGGAGGUCGAGGCUGUAGUGAGCCGUUAUUGCACCACUGCACUCCAGCCUGGGCAACAGAGCAAGACCCCAUCUCAAAUAACAGUACAAAAUAAGUAUGGAGAUGCUGGCUCCUGUGGGAAGCUGGGUGGACGUGGGGGGCACACCCUCCAGUCUGCAGAAACUUCCCGCCGCUCGGGCUGAUGUGCUCGAGGGCUCCCGAGGCCCUGCCUCCUGGGCGGCAGGGGGAACAUGGGAAAGGCUGCCGGGCCCCGGGCUCCCCGGUGGGUGGCCCCGUGCAGCCUGUUAUUCAUAAAACUUGGAGAGAAAGUGCCUUUUUGUAGGAAAGUGUGGGGUGCUGGCGGCCAUUUCCACCUGUGGUUGGACCCGGACUGCCUCCCCGCGUGUGGCCCGUGCCCCACCCCACACCCACCCCCGCCCUCUGUCAAGCAGGACUCGGGCUCUCCGUUGGCCGAGCAGAUGUUUUAUUUGUGGAACGGAAUUGCCGUCGGGAUGGGCGUGGGGUCAUUAGCAGCAUAAUCAACACCCACAUCCUCCCUGGGGGCAGCCACGUCUUGUUGACAGGUGGAGGCCGUGACAUGCUGCAGUUACAGCUAAUGAGGAGGGUGUGUGACCCGCGCCUCCAUCGCAGGUGCGCAGUGAGUUGUGGAAAUGCCGAUAAUUUAAAAUAGUCGAACAGGGCCGGGCGUAGUGUCUCAGGCCUGUGGUCCCAGCACUUUGGGAGGCCAAGGUGGGAGGAUCACCUGAGGUCAAGUGUUCGAGACCAGCCUGGCAACAUGGCGAAACCCUGUCUUGACUAAAAUACAAAAAAAUUAGCCGGGCAUGAUGGUGCACACCUGUAAUCCCAGCUACUCGGGAGGCCGAGGCAGGAGAAUCGCUUGAACCCGGGAGGCGGAGGUUGCAGUGAGCCGAGAUUGUGCCACUGCAUUCCAGCCUAGGCAACAGAGCGGGACUCCAUCUCAAAACAUAAAAAUAAAGUAGUGGAAAAAAACUAUAGGAAAAAGAAAAGAAAAAGCUAAAAAGAAAAUUUAACGUGAAAAAGCGUAUUGGCCGGGUACGGUGGCUCAGGCCUGUAAUCCCAACACUUUCAGAGGCCCAGGCGGGCGGGAUCUCUUGAGCCCAGGAGUUUGAGAGCAGCCUGGGCAACAUGGUGAGAUUCCAUCUAUAUUUAAAAAAAAAGCAUGUUACAGGAAUUCUAGGAAUGGACUGUGGGCAGUUGCAUGGAGAUGGCCUGUAAGAGCUGGCCAGCUUUCACAACCUUCAGCUUUAUUUUGAAAUCUUGCAUUGAGAUGAAUAACUGCUUUUCUUUCUUUUAGGACAUAGCUAACCCCAGAGAAUAUGUUCACAUUCAUUUUCCAUGUGGCACUGCUUCGGUUGAAAUUUUUUUUUUUUUUCUUGAGAUGGAGUCUUGCUCUGUCGCCCAGGCUGGAGUGCAGUGGUGCGAUCUCAGCUCACUGCAACCUCUGCCUCCUGGGUUGAAGCGAUUCUCCUGCCUCAUACUCCCGAGUAGCUGAGAUUACAGGCAUGUGCCACCACGCCCAGCUAAUUUUUGUAUUUUUAAUAGAGACAGGGUUUCACUGUGUUGGCCAGGAUGGUCUCGAUCUUCUGACCUCGUGAUCCACCUGCCUCGGCCUCCCAAAGUGUUGGGAUUACAGGCGUGAGCCACUGCACCCAGCCGUUGUCAAAACUUUUCUUUUUUUUUCUUUUGAGACAGAGUUUUGUUCUUGUUGCCCAGGCUGGAGUGCAAUGUCAGGAUCUUUGCUCACUGCAACCUCUGCCUCCCGGGUUCAAGCGAUUCUCCUGCUUCAGCCUCCUGAGUAGCUUGUAUUACAGGCGCCUGCAACCAAGCCCGGUUAAUUUUUGCAUUUUUAGUAGAGACAGGCUUUCGCCAUGAUGGCCAGGCUGGUCUGUAACUCCUGACCUCGUGAUCCGCUCACCUUGGCCUCACAAAGUGCUGGGAUUACAGGCAUGAGCCAUCAUGCCCCGCGAGACAAGUUUAUUAGAAAUGACUCGGCUGGGCGUGGUGGCAGGCACCUGUAAUCCCAGCUACUUGGGAGGUUGAGGCAGGAGAAUCGUGGGAACCUGGGAGGUGGAGGUUGCGGUGAGCGGAGAUUGUGUCAUUGCACCCCAGCCUGGGCGACUAGAGUGAAACUCCGCCUCAAAAAAACAAAAGAAGAGGCCGGGCACGGUGGCUCAUGCCUGUAAUCCCAGCACUUUGGGAGGCUGAGGUGGGCAGAUCAUGAGGUCAGGAGAUCAAGACCAUCCUGGCUAACACAGUGAAACCCCGUCUCUAUUAAAAAUAUAAAAAAUUAGCUGGGCAUGGUGACCGGGGCCUGUGGUCCCAGCUACUCAGGAGGCUGAGGCAGGAGCAUGGCGUGAACCCGGGGGGCAGAGCUUGUAGUGAGCCAAGAUCGCGCCACUGCACUCCAGCCUGGGCGACAGAGCGAGACUCCGUCUCAAAAAAAAAAAAACAACGAAUGAUUCUAUUACAGAGCGGACGUGCUCAGAGAGCAGGAAGAACUCGCUGUCCUUUGUUAGUGUUUCUGCUUAUAAGAAACUACAAGGAAUCUCUACACGUAGACCUGAAUGUGCAGCUGUGCUCACCGAAGGUCGGGGCUGCUGGUGCUCCCCGUGACCAAUCACCUUCAGCCUCAGCCUGCUCACUGGCGCUCUCUCAGUGAAGUGGGCUGCACUCUCUGGAGGUCUGGACAUUCUCAGGCCUGCUGGGAAAUGUCCUGUAUGGCCAUAACUAUUUUGCAACUAUUUGCAUAACUAUUUUGCAGUCACAGUUGGUGGUCAGCUUGGGACGUAGCUGUUUUCAGCCCCUAAGCAUGAACUUUAUACUUGCCUUGUGAGUGCCAAGCUAGGCACUAUGAGAUGGAGUCACUCUGGUCGUGUUUUAUGAGGCUGGAGGCCUGGAAAAGGCAGAGCUUCCUCCAUCAUAACCAUCGUGGUGCCCCUGUCUGGGCCGGCUGUGUGCCAGCAUCACAGCCCCCGGACCAAGUACUGCUCUGUGCACCGAUGUCUGUUUUGCAGAACUGGAAUCUCAGCUUCCGAACCGCCCACUCCACCAUCAGCCAAGCCGGGACCACUCCGGAGUGCCUGGCCCCUGAGCUGUGCCCGUGCUCCUGUGUUGAAGACCUGGUUCCCGUGAGGGACCUGGCCCCUCAUUUGAACUCUCGGCACCUCAGUUCUCUCCUCUGUAAAACAGGGAUAGAAGGCGACCUCCCACAGCCCUGACUGCACAGGGCAUCCUGCUCUGGCCUGGCGGGUGGAGGAAACAGUGGCCGAGCGAGAGGCGCUGACCUCCCAGAGUCGGGAAGCCUGGGCCAACCAGGGAAGACUUCCUGGAAGAGGUGACCGGGGCGGAGACCCAGUGAUGCGUCUGCUCCAGGCUAGGGGCUCGGUCCUCUUUUCUGUUUUGACGUCAUGGGGGAUGGAAUUGAGAGCGAUCAGAGCAGAAGCCAGCCUCUCAGCUCAGAGCAUGGCUACUGCUCUCUGGGAGUGGGUCCUGCUGAGGGAUCCUCUGUGGAUUAUCGGAUUAACGUUCAAUGUGUCCACACCAGAGGCUGAGCUAGCAAAGCCGGACAUCUCUAUUUACUCAACUUCUUAAAUGCGACGGCCAGUACCCUGACGAUUUGGCCAUGUGAAAACCAAAGAGAAAAGGUAUUUUUUUUUAAAUAUGUAGAACAAACAACACCAAAGUUAUUUUAUUCAUUCAAAGUGUGAAAAGGCCAACAAUAGCCUGGGGUGGAUGGGGGUGAGGGCACCCUGGCAGCCACCAUCCCUGGCAUCCCUGGCACGGAGCGGUGUCCCUGGCACGGAGCAGCGUCCCUGGCAUGGAGCAGCGUCCCUGGCAUGGAGCAGCGUGGAGUGGGGUGGGUGUAGGGAGGGGUAAGGUGAGCACGGAAGCGAGGCGCCUGUGAGCGCAGCCAAACGAGGCGCCGAGGAGACCAGAAGGAAAGCCACCCACGGGCUGCGAGAUUGCGCAGUGGCGGUGGGAACCAGGGCAGCCUCUUCUCUCCAGGCCUGUGGGUUCCAGCAUCCCUCUCACCACAGCCCUUCCUUCUGCUCAUGCAAAGCUCCUUGUUCUAAUUUGAAUUUCAAUGGAUGUACAGAGGUCAGACCUCAAACCCCUCCUGGUGAACCAGCCACCCAGUUGCUCCCCUGAGCUGGUGGCUUCUCCCUCGGCCCCUGCUUUUCUCCCGCGUUGGCUGUUUCUCUGGUUUUGGAUGUCCCUGCUGCUCGCUGUGCCGUGGACUCUUUCAGGUGCUGGGAAAUGUCUUCUGUGUGUUUGUUUGACAUCUGCCUCUCAGCUGCCAGUUGGUUCAUUCAGUAGAAAUCCCCUUCUUUCAGAUGAAGUCAGAUUUACCAAUGCUUUGCAGUGUAGUUUGGUCCCAGGGCCUCGGGGAUCUUGCUCCGUUCCCUUUUUUGGUUUCCUCCCCAUCUCCACUUUUUUUUUUUUUUUUCCCCCGAGAUGGAGUCUCCCUCUGUCACCCAGGCUGGAGUGAAGUGGCAUGAUCUCGGCUCACUGCAACCUCCGCCUCCUGGGUUCAAGCGGUUUCCAGCUAAUUUUUGUAUUUUUGAUAGAGAUGGGGUUUCGCCAUGUUGGCCAGGCUGGUCUCAAACUCCUGACCUCAAGUGAUCCACCUGACUCGGCCUCCCAGAGUGCUGGGAUUACAGGCCUGAGCCACCAAGCCCGGCUUUCGUCGCUUUUAAGUGCGUAAUUCAGUGGCAUUAUGUACAUUCAGAAUGCUGUAUAACCAUCACCGCUACCCAUUUCUAGAAAUUUCUCACCUCACACAGACACUGUCCCCAUUAAACAAUAAUCCUCCACUGCCCUGGUUCCCGGGCGCUGCUGUUUUCUUUCCCGUCUGUGUCUUCACCUGUUCUGAAUAUUUCAAAUAAACAGGAUCAUACCUUU